rnacentral:rRNA from 1 species
UGAGGAAUAUUGGUCAAUGGCCGGGAGGCUGAACCAGCCAAGCCGCGUGAAGGAAGACGGCCCUACGGGUUGUAAACUUCUUUUGUCGGGGAACAAAAGGGAGGACGUGUCCUCCUCUGCGGGUACCCGAAGAAAAAGCAUCGGCUAACUCCGUGCCAGCAGCCGCGGUAAUACGGAGGAUGCGAGCGUUAUCCGGAUUUAUUGGGUUUAAAGGGUGCGUAGGCGUUCUGUUAAGUCAGCGGUAAAAGACCGGGGCUCAACCCCGGCAAGCCGUUGAAACUGGCGGACUAGAGACGGAGAGAAGUAAGCGGAAUGCGCAGUGUAGCGGUGAAAUGCAUAGAUAUUGCGCAGAACUCCGAUUGCGAAGGCAGCUUACCGGCUCCGGACUGACGCUGAGGCACGAAAGCGUGGGGAUCAAACAGGAUUAGAUACC